rnacentral:lncRNA from 1 species
GUGGGUGAUUUUGUGUACAUUUUGAGACAUGUACACGUGUACAACCAAAAUGAACCAAUAUAUAUAAAACAAUUGUACACAUAUAGGUGGAUUGGCGGUUGCUUACUAAAAAUGUCAAAAUACAUAACACAGUAAAUCAAAUCAAACUGAAGAUGUGUACAUGACAAUAAGUGUACACAUGCUUUUGUGUGUUAUUUGUAUCUAAUGAUUUUUAGCUUAGAUUUUAGUUCAUAUCAUUUAUUUUCCAAUACAUUUAAUUAUGUGCAUAUAUGUGUUCAAUUUCAUUACUAGAGGGGUGAUACAUUUUUUUUUUUGAAACACUUUUUUUUUGAAACACAGAGGGGUGAUACAUAAUUGGUUAAUUUUGAGUUAAAUCAAAGAGACAAUAGUUUAUUUUGAAAGUUUAGAGGUAAAAAAGAAAGCAAUAAAAAACCAAAGAUCAUUCGUGCAAUUAUAAAAAUAUACUGGAAUGAACAAUCAAGAAGUUUGUUGGUUAUUUUGUGUACAAUUUGUGACAUGUACACGUGUACAUCAAAAAUGCACCAAUAUAUGUGACGAAAUUGUACACAAAUAGGCGGAUUAGCGGUUGUGUACUAAAAGAAUACCAAAAUACAUAACAAAAUAGAUCAACUCAAACUGAAUAUGGUGUACAUGACAAUAGUUGUACACAUGAUAAUUUUGAAAUACAUCAAAGAAACAAUAUUUUAUUUUUAUAAGUUUAUAGGCAAAAAUGAACAAUCAAGAAGUUUAUGGGUUGAUUUGUACAAGUUUAGGGUUAAAACAAAAUUAUACAAAACGUUAAGGACCAAAAUACAAAAAAAAACCAAAAGUGGCCAUUGAUGUUCCCG